rnacentral:lncRNA from 1 species
UGCAUCUCUAUCUGUAUUUUCAAUUGUCUUAAAAAAUAUUACAUAUUCAGGAUGAAAUUUUUUGAAAAAUUAACUACAUGUAUAUAUAUUUCUUUUGAAACAGUCAGCAACACAGAUCGAGCAUAGGUAAAUGUGACAAAUAGUCAUUUUGGAAUGCAGUUACGAUACUGUUGUCAGGUCAUUAAGAAAGACAUAUGACGACCAUUUUCACUGAACAAUUACACAUGUGUAUAUAAGGGACAAAUGAGGCCCAACCCCCGGAUGCGGGAUUUUUCGCUGCGUUGAAACCUCUUUCGUUGCUUUCGCCUGUUUAUCUGCUCUUUGGUCGGGUUGUAUUCUCUUUGAAAUGUUCCCAAUUUCCAUUCUCAAUUUUAUUAACAUGUAUUCAAUAACAGGUUUUAAAAACUUUCCAUAUAUUUCACUUUGAACUAUAAUGGUUUACUUUUACAAAUUGUGACUUUGAUG